UACGAAGGGUGCAAGCGUUAAUCGGAAUUACUGGGCGUAAAGCGUGCGUAGGCGGUUUCUUAAGUCUGCUGUGAAAUCCCCGGGCUCAACCUGGGAAUGGCAGUGGAUACUGGGAGGCUAGAGUGUGUCAGAGGAUGGUGGAAUUCCCGGUGUAGCAGUGAAAUGCGUAGAGAUCGGGAGGAACACCAGUGGCGAAGGCGGCCUUCUGGACCAAUACUGACGCUCAUGCACGAAAGCGUGGGGGGCAAACAGG
rnacentral:rRNA from 1 species